GCCGGACCUGACUGCUAUCGGAUUGAUACUAAGCCAUGCGAGUCUUUGCAGUAAUGCAAGGCAUACGGCUCAGUAACACGUAGUCAACCUACCCUAUGGACGAGAAUAAUCUCGGGAAACUGAGCAUAAUUCUUGAUAGAUCAUAAUGCCUGGAAUGGUUUAUGGUUAAAAUGAUUCGUCGCCAUAGGAUGGGACUGCGGCCUAUCAGCUUGUUGGUGAGGUAAUGGCCCACCAAGGCGAUUACAGGUACGGGCUCUGAGAGGAGAAGCCCGGAGAUGGGUACUGAGACACGGACCCAGGCCCUAUGGGGCGCAGCAGGCGAGAAAACUUUGCAAUGUGCGAAAGCACGACAAGGUUAAUCCGAGUGAUUUCUGCUAAAGAAAUCUUUUGCCAGUCAUAAAACCACUGGUGAAUAAGGGGUGGGCAAGUUCUGGUGUCAGCCGCCGCGGUAAAACCAGCACCUCAAGUGGUCAGGAUGAUUAUUGGGCCUAAAGCAUCCGUAGCCGGCUUUGUUAGUUUUCGGUUAAAUCCAUGUGCUCAACGCAUGGGCUGCCGAAAAUACUGCAUAGCUAGGGAGUGGGAGAGGUAGACGGUACUCAGUAGGAAGGGGUAAAAUCCUUUGAUCUAUUGAUGACCACCUGUGGCGAAGGCGGUCUACCAGAACACGUUCGACGGUGAGGGAUGAAAGCUGGGGGAGCAAACCGGAUUAGAUACCCGGGUAGUCCCAGCUGUAAACGAUGCAGACUCGAUGAUGCAUUGGCAUAAUAGCCAGUGCAGUGUCGCAGGGAAGCCGUUAAGUCUGCCGCCUGGGAAGUACGUACGCAAGUAUGAAACUUAAAGGAAUUGGCGGGGGAGCACCACAAGGGGUGAAGCCUGCGGUUCAAU
rnacentral:rRNA from 1 species